rnacentral:lncRNA from 1 species
GGCGAAUUCCUGAGAAGGGAGGAGGCGUUCUUGCUGAGUUGCUCGCUUCGCGGAGCUAAUAACCUUUUCAGGUAUAUUUAAACAUGGAGAGAACAAGUGACGCGUAACAACUCUAUGAGGUGCAACCUAUCCAGUCAGUUUCCUUUUGAGAGCUGAAAUACCUGAAGCUUUGGAGAUGGUAAAGGAAUUAUCGAGGGUCAUACUGGCUAAGAAGAGUGCUAAAAGUGGAGACCUU